GCUCCGUAUCAUAACAGAUGGGGUCGACCAUUCAUUCAUAGAUUACAAAGCUGAAUUGAACCAGAAGCUGCUGUUUUUUUUCCUUCUUCCCAGUUGUCUGGUUUCUAUCAAUAGUGAAGGAGGCAGUUGAGGGGAAUCUCUUAAGGGACUUCAGUACCAAGUAACCUCCUCCAUUUUGAUAUUCUCUUCCAGUCUGCCUAAUUGAUUUGAUUCUAAGAAGAGGCUGUGUGUUUAUACCCAGGUCUUUAAUUGAUUUGAUUCUAAGACGGGGCUGUGUGUUUAUACCCAGGUCUUUAAUUGAUUUGAUUCUAAGAAGAGGGGCUGUGUGUUUAUACCCAGGUCUUUUAUUGAUUUGAUUCUAAGGGUU
rnacentral:lncRNA from 1 species